GUGCGCUGGAUUAUGACUG
rnacentral:snRNA from 1 species